GAGCGGUUAGAGAUUGUCGAGUAUUAGAUCAAAAGAAAAGAAAAACUUAGAGUAACAUAUGACGCAAGAAAAAUAGAGAGAAAAAGAGAAAAAUAGAGAAACAUGCGGUUAGAAUGUUAUAUAUUUUCGAAUAUUAGAUGAAAAGAAAAAAAACUUUUGUUAAAUAAAGAUUGAAGGUCUAUACCAAGAGAGAUGAUUGGGUGUUGAAGAAAAAUUUCAAAAAAAAAAUUAUUCCGACGAGAUGGAAAAAUCAAAGAAAGAUGGUAGGAAGUAGUGUACGUGAGUAGGUCAUGACAGGUAAGGUGAAAAAAGCAAACGUGAUGUACUGGCACAGGUAAGAUACACGUAGGUGUCAUAGGUAGGUAGUAUAAAGAAGAAGAAUAUAUUAUACACCGAGAUCUGUACAACAAAAACUAUAAAAAAUUAUAAGUAACUAUAAAUGAAAGGACGGCCUAGAUGUGGAGGGAGAAGAUCGGACGGCUCAGUCAGGGUGAG
rnacentral:lncRNA from 1 species